rnacentral:rRNA from 1 species
UACGUAGGGGGCUAGCGUUGUCCGGAUUUAUUGGGCGUAAAGAGCUCGUAGGCGGCUUGUCACGUCGGGUGUGAAAGACCGGGGCUUAACUCCGGUUCUGCAUUCGAUACGGGCUAGCUAGAGUGUGGUAGGGGAGAUCGGAAUUCCUGGUGUAGCGGUGAAAUGCGCAGAUAUCAGGAGGAACACCGGUGGCGAAGGCGGAUCUCUGGGCCAUUACUGACGCUGAGGCGCGAAAGCGUGGGUAGCAAACAGG